ACCUAGUUGAGUUUAUAUCUCUCAAAAUCAUGAGAAGCAGCUCAGGCUUCACUGAAUUUAAGAAAAACAGAUAUUAAGCUACCUAGAACACAUGCUACUUUGUAUUUUGGGCAAAGCAGACUUCAACACAUGGCAGACCUUUUAAGCCGUCAACUUUUGUCAUUUCUCAACAGCUGCUGCAAGUGACACCUGUAGAAAGAGCUAGCACAUUAUGAGAUUUUAUUAACACCGCAUUCCAGGAGAACUUUUACAUAUCUGUGUUGUAGACUCUUGCAUGGGGAGAGCAUAAUGGUGAUUAUGGUUCUGGGUGGAUGAAGUGCCAGUAGGCAAAUAAUAUGGCAAUAGCCACGGAAGAGUGCUUCAGUAAAGUAGCUCCCCAAUUGCUUUUCCCCAUUCUGCUGCACAUUAAGUACAUGUUGCCUUCAGGAGCCUUUGCCAAAUAUUCUAAAGCAGCUGUCACAUUUGUGGUCUUUGCAUUGGUAACUCAAUAUUGU